rnacentral:rRNA from 2 species
AAAGCAUUCUCUGGUGUUGAAGGCCCUGCAAAGCAGCAUCGCGGUGGCGGAGCGUCGUUUGCGACGCCCAACACACAAAACAAGCGGUGAGUGCUUUGGGGUGGGGUGACUGCGUACCUUUUGUAUAAUGGGUCAGCGACUUAUAUUCUGUAGCAAGGUUAACCGUAUAGGGGAGCCGUAGGGAAACCGAGUCUUAACCGGGCGUUAAGUUGCAGGGUAUAGACCCGAAACCCGGUGAUCUAGCCAUGGGCAGGUUGAAGGUUGGGUAACACUAACUGGAGGACCGAACCGACUAAUGUUGAAAAAUUAGCGGAUGACUUGUGGCUGGGGGUGAAAGGCCAAUCAAACCGGGAGAUAGCUGGUUCUCCCCGAAAGCUAUUUAGGUAGCGCCUCGUGAAUUCAUCUUCGGGGGUAGAGCACUGUUUCGGCUAGGGGGUCAUCCCGACUUACCAACCCGAUGCAAACUGCGAAUACCGGAGAAUGUUAUCACGGGAGACACACGGCGGGUGCUAACGUCCGUCGUGAAGAGGGAAACAACCCAGACCGCCAGCUAAGGUCCCAAAGUCAUGGUUAAGUGGGAAACGAUGUGGGAAGGCCCAGACAGCCAGGAUGUUGGCUUAGAAGCAGCCAUCAUUUAAAGAAAGCGUAAUAGCUCACUGGUCGAGUCGGCCUGCGCGGAAGAUGUAACGGGGCUAAACCAUGCACCGAAGCUGCGGCAGCGACACUGUGUGUUGUUGGGUAGGGGAGCGUUCUGUAAGCCUGCGAAGGUGGCCUGUGAGGGUUGCUGGAGGUAUCAGAAGUGCGAAUGCUGACAUAAGUAACGAUAAAGCGGGUGAAAAGCCCGCUCGCCGGAAGACCAAGGGUUCCUGUCCAACGUUAAUCGGGGCAGGGUGAGUCGACCCCUAAGGCGAGGCCGAAAGGCGUAGUCGAUGGGAAACAGGUUAAUAUUCCUGUACUUGGUGUUACUGCGAAGGGGGGACGGAGAAGGCUAUGUUGGCCGGGCGACGGUUGUCCCGGUUUAAGCGUGUAGGUGUGUGUUCCAGGUAAAUCCGGUUCACUUUAACACUGAGGCGUGA